ensembl:lncRNA
GCUGAAUGCUCCUGCAAACAGCUCCACUUAUGUGAGCCCAAAGCUUGGAAAUGUGCACGAGACGGGCUGCAGGAGACCCGGGUGAUAAAGCUGGCACUGGAAAAGCAAACUACAGAAUGACAAUGUCACUCUCUGAAGUCUCAACACCUUGCUCUGACAGAGUUAGCCGACUCAGGAGAAGAAGAAGAAGAAGAAGAAGAAGAAGAAGAAGAAGAAGAAGAAGAAUAUGAAGAAGAAGAAGAAGAAGAAGAAGAAGAAGAAGAAGAAGAGGAUGCAAAACUUGUCAGCUGUACUUGUCACACUCUUCCAUUCACCACAAAAACAAGGAAAUCAUAACUUUGAGAAGUGUUAUAACAGUUGAUUGUGUUAAAGGUGAAACAGCGAGAGAGAGAGAGAGAGAGAGAGAGAGAGAGAGAGAGAGAGAGAGAGAGAGAGAGAGAAGAAAAACGAAAGAAAGAAAAAAACAUGACACUUUUCCAAAUAUCAGAAGAUGCCUUUGCUACUCUUGGGAUUGCACUACUGUCACAGAUCAGUAAGGGUUGCUGAGGAGGAUGCUGUAGCGGGCUUUUGAAGUGUCUGACACAGCCGGAGAGGUUUUAAGGGAGAGAAACACACUCCGGCACUGACAGCUGAGGUCAGAGGGCGUUUAUCUCUUGUGCGGCGAGGUCCCGAGUCGGUGUGUGUUCAGGCGAGAUCACAGCAGCAACGGCCGCUUAAUUAGCACCGAGCAGAUGAGAGCGGGCAGCACUGGUGAGCUAAAGGGCUCUACACAGCACGGAGGAGCUGCACGAAGCCUGAAGAAAGUUAGCACGGGAGAUCCGUUAAAACAGCAGGAAGGCACACGGACAAAAACUUAAACCCUCUGAGGAUGACCAACUGAUCUGUCCCGAACUCUGCUAAACUCUUAAAGUCCCAAACUCCUGCUCCAAGAUCACAGUGAAAAUCUCUCUGUAUUUAUUUAGUUAGUUUAAGGAGAAAAGCAGUGGGAAGAAUGAGGAGGGGAGAAGAGAAAAAAAAAGAUGGGAGUUUUUUAGACAGCCAACUUUUAGACACCCUGAUGUAAAACUUAGUUUGACAGGUAUGAAGAGCCUUUGGGAUAGAGUGACAUGCUGUGUUUGACUGCCUUCACCUGUCAUUAUGUCCACAGCCGGGGAAAGUACAUAAUAUACCACGCUGAACUAAAGCACGCACAGCAGGGACUCUCUGAAACCUGCUUUUGCUAAACAACACAAGAAUACAUCAGUGCAAAUAUUUCAAAUGUGUAUAACGUCACGGUGUCAUGAUUUUUACAUGACUUUGCCUACACUUUUCGUUCAUGUUUUCUAAUCACAGUGCUGUUGAAUUCUCAAUUCUGAUUGGCCAGAAGGUGUCUAUAACAGCAGCUUGGACAGUUGUUAUAUCAAUUUAAUACGGUGUCAUUUAGUUAGAUAAUCAGUCACUUUUAUUGUCUUUGGCUUCACCAUAUAUUAUAAAAAAUUACAUCAACACAACAACCAAAAAACAACAAAGCAAAAGUACAUAAAAAAACAGUAUAAACAUCUAUAACUCAAAUCUACGUUAUAAUGUACACACACAUUCCCAUUUGUAUGUAUGUAUAUAUGUAUAUAUUAUGGCACUUGGCACAAAUGGCAUCCGGUACAUGUUUCCUUGCCUGUGGUUGUCUAGGGUCUCCUUGAAGGUAAACAACUGAAAUUUCUAUAGUAACAGCUCAUUUACAGGGACUUGUAUGGUGGAUGUUUCACAUAAUCUAAACUGCAUAAUACACAGGUAAAUCAGGUACACAGAUAACGUAAACAGUUUAAAAAAUGUGCUUUUAAUUAUUACAGAAAAAAUGUAUGAUCGUUAAAUGAGUCACUGGUGACAUCACCUUAGAAAGAAGUAAUGUACAGAAAGUUUUCCACCUUGGGGGAAGUUUAUCAGAAACAAGUUGUCUUAUUAAAUCAUGAAAGAAAAAGAAAAAAAAAAAAGAAACUGGUGAGGGAAAGACUGUUUUGUCGCUGCAAGAGCAUAAAAGAAAGUAUUUAAAUGUGACUAUAAACUGAUAAAAAAAUAUGACAAGCCAUUUUGAAUUAAUGUAAUGUAAUUUAAAUUAAUGUAAUGUAAUUGAUGUAAUGUAAUACAUGUAAUUAUCGAC